GCCCCGCUGAGCUUCGGUGGUCCGGGGUGCGGACUUCAAAUCCGUAGUCGACUAAUAAUCGAAGUGGUUCGAUUCCACCUGUGGGGCG